rnacentral:rRNA from 1 species
CAGCCGCCGCGGGAAUACGUAGGGUGCAAGCGUUAAUCGGAAUUACUGGGCGUAAAGCGUGCGCAGGCGGUUAUAUAAGACAGAUUUGAAAUCCCCGGGCUCAACCUGGGAACUGCAUUUGUGACUGUAUAGCUAGAGUACGGCAGAGGGGGAUGGAAUUCCGCGUGUAGCAGUGAAAUGCGUAGAUAUGCGGAGGAACACCGAUGGCGAAGGCAAUCCCCUGGGCCUGUACUGACGCUCAUGCACGAAAGCGUGGGGAGCAAACAGGAUUAGAUACCCCUGUAGUCCCUGUCUCUUAUAC